GACGCGGUUCAAGGGUGAUACAGUUUAUGGAAUGGUGCAGUGUACGAAAGACUUGUCACCAGAAGCUUGUGAAGAGUGUUUGGUUUUUAAUAGCAUACAUUUUCAAGAUUGCUUGAAUGAUAAACGAGGAGCGAGAUUUGUGGGUCCGAGCUGUACUUUUAGGUUUGAGUUUUAUCCUUUUAUUGCGGUUCGAAAUUUUAAAAAGCUAAAUAAAUAAUGAAAAAAAUUGCUAAAAUAGAACAAAAAAAAUAACUAUAUUUGUCCCUUUGACAAUUAACUUGUCCUCUUAUUGUAACUAGAGAUUUUGCCCGGGCUACGCCCAGGUUUAUACAAAUAGCAUUGUAUUUAAUAUUUAUAUUACAAUAUUAUAUCUAUUUAUAAAAUAUAAAUAGUAAUAAUUUAAAUUAGAAAUGAAUAAAACUUGCAAUUUAUUGUUUUUAUCAUCUAAAAUAUGUAUGGGAUGAUGAACACAUGUGAAAUGAAUUAAAAAUUGUUAAACUUUAGUUAUUAUCCAAAAUAUUUUUUUUUACAUAUUUUGGUUAGUUUGAAAAUAUAUUAUUAAUCUUAACAUCACAUUUUUUAUAUUUAUUAUUCAAAUCAUGUUUAAUAUUUUAUUUCUGUAUUAUUUAAUUUUUAUAAUAUACUUUAUUACUAUAUAAUUUAUUUUUACAUUGUUUUAUAUGUAAAUAGGCAAUAAUUAUUGUUAUAGGCCAAUGUAAAAAAACUUUUCUUAUUUUAAAACAGAGUUUUUUUGGUCUAGUUUUAAAGACAGAGUUACGUUCUGAUAAACCAAAAUACCCAAUUACAACAAAGAACAUGACAAAGGUGUAUUGUGGGUGGUUUUUCCCUUGCUCGUUCAACUCCUCUUACUUUUUAUAUGAAGUGAUGUAGUACUAUUUUCUGUAUUUUAAUAUUUGUUCUUCAAUAUUUCUUUAAACUUUUUUAAUAAUGUCUAUAAGCUUGUUAUAAUUUUAGUACAAAAAUUUAUGACGUUACCAUAAUGUUCGUACUUUUAUAGAUCCAACAAUAAGUUAAUCCUUCUACAUAAGAGACUGACUAAUUUUUAAUCUUAAAACUAUUCAAAGAAAAGUAAUAGUCCAAACUUUAUUUUGAUGUAACAUAUAUUUAAAGCGAUAGUUUAGAUAAUUGAUGAUCAAUAACUUUAAAAAUUUAUAAUAUUUUGUGUAAUUCAAAUACUUUUGAGUCAGCAAUACUUAUUUGUGUUAAUGAGUCAAAAUUCAAAAACUCCAUAUAUUGUUUUUGGAUAGUCAAAAACAAUUCAAUAGCCAAAGCUUUGGAAUAUUAUUUUUGAAUGAGAAAAUGAACAUGUCUCUGGAAAAAUCCAAGUCUCCUUGUAAUUAUAUAGUAACCGUGACUUUUAAAAUUUAUAUAUAUAUGAAGACAUAAAUAAUUUAAACGGCCAGUUAUUCCAAUCAGUUACCUAAACCACAUCCAUGUAAAAUCACUUGUUCACUCGCACCGUCCUUCAGCUUUGUUGCAUGUUUCAGCCCAUCCAGUUUGCCACACGACCAACUAUGCCCCUGAAGUAGCGUGGAAACUCAUAUGUUUCAGAAGUAUAGAUAACACACAAAUUCAUUAGACUAUUGAUUCAACCACAAGAGACCUGACCAUAUAUUUGACAAUAUAAUCUAAAUUCAAGAACAAACCAAAACAAAUCAGAAAUGGCAACCUAAUUAAAACGAUGAUCCAUAUUAAAAAAAAAAAGAAGUAAAAAUGAAAUAUGCUGCUUAUAGUGAAACUCUAUGCCGCAAUAUUGGAUGGUCAGUGAGAACCCAGACUUGCACCUUCCUUCUUUGAACCACAGUGAAAAAACAAACAACACACACAACAAUAAAACUGGUGGUUGUGGUUAAUGACAAUGACUCAUUCACCAUUGUUUGAUCAUCUUAGCCCAAGCAAUGUUACCAGCAUAUAAGCCUCAACUCCUAUAUUUAAAACUGUAUUGUGUAAAUAAACCCACAAUGAUUUUCAAUGUCUGAGAAUAUAAUUUUAACAGAAGAUUUUACAUUUUGAAUAGUUUUUCUUACAUUGCAAUCAAAAGAGCGAGCAAGGACUAUGGCUGCGUUACGCUCUUGUUUGUUCUGACUAAAAAGGUUAAAAAUUUAGGCUCUUUCUGGUUGCCCGAACAAUGCCUUGGCAGGAGCUUUAAUAUUGCCUCUAAUUCCACAGAGCUGAAUAUUUGAAUACCCAAAAAAAAACAUAUAUUCUUGUAAAAGAUUUUCAUAGAAUGUCAAAUGAGUGCUUUUUUUUUUUGUGAAAUAGCUUGAAGAAUCACAAUCUCAAGAUACCUGCAUAUAUGUCAAUUACAUUUCUCUUGCCUUUGUGAUCCAUCCUAGAGAUAAUUUUAUUCUCGUCUUCCAAGGGUAAAGACAUGAGAUCAGGAUGCAGUCUUGUUCAUUCAUCUGUAAUAUAAUCACCUGAAAAAGAGUUCAAAAUAUUCAGCUUAGUGGAACAUAAACUCAAUGCAACUCUUUCCCA